UACGUAGGGUGCAAGCGUUGUCCGGAAUUAUUGGGCGUAAAGAGCUUGUAGGCGGUUUGUCGCGUCUGCUGUGAAAUUUCGGGGCUCAACCCCGAACUUGCAGUGGGUACGGGCAGGCUAGAGUGUGGUAGGGGAGACUGGAAUUCCUGGUGUAGCGGUGAAAUGCGCAGAUAUCAGGAGGAACACCGGUGGCGAAGGCGGGUCUCUGGGCCGAUACUGACGCUGAGGAGCGAAAGCGUGGGGAGCAAACAGG
rnacentral:rRNA from 1 species